GCCGAACGUAAAACGAACAACGCUGCUGGCGUCGCAGUCACUGUCGCUGCUGGCGCUGCCGCUGCUUUGUGGGGGCCCAGUUGGUCGAUUGCUUUGCUGCGCUCGUGUGUUGGCUGAGUCGUUGUUCUACCGUCGUGAUUGCAACACUUCUGCUUCUGCCACACACACUAUCGCCGUCGUCAUUUAGCCGUCGCCAAGUCUCGCAGUCGCAACGUUUUUCACGUUCUUUUGAUUUCCAACUACAAAAUCAACUACUACUACGCGUACGUCAACGUCGCAGUCGCAGUCGCCGCGUCAGUCGCAGCCGCCAGCAGCAGUAGCAGCUCUAAUAUUCAAAGCGCACGCGUUACGGUACAACAAAAAACAAAAGAAAAGAAAAACAAAAAUAAAAAUAAUUAAUUUAAAAAUAAAAGGUGCUCAUAUAUAUCGAAGUAUUUUGUGGCUUCUAUCAAAAUUGAAAUUGGAAAAGUAAACGCAAUUGAGGAACAUUUUCAUCAAGGAAAACAACAGCAGAGGAAAAUUGAGAACUAGCAUUUCAAAAAACAACGCACACAUACGGAAAGGCCAAAGCAAAAAGAAAAGGAAACUGGAAGGCAGCGUGAAUUGGAUGUGACGUGACACGGUCGAUAAAUAUAUAUACAAAUAUAUACAUAUAAUAUACAUAUAUCGAUACAUUAAUGCGUGUUAGACUAGAAAAGCGAAGCAGCAGCAGCAGCAGACGGCGCACAAGUAGAGCCUGAACUCUGCAAUAAGGAAAUAGCAGAAACAGAAAGCAACU
rnacentral:sRNA from 1 species